GAUGAACGCUGGCGGCGUGCCUAAUACAUGCAAGUCGAGCGAACAGAUAAGGAGCUUGCUCCUUUGACGUUAGCGGCGGACGGGUGAGUAACACGUGGGUAACCUACCUAUAAGACUGGAAUAACUCCGGGAAACCGGGGCUAAUGCCGGAUAUCAUUUAGAACCGCAUGGUUCUAAAGUGAAAGAUGGUUUUGCUAUCACUUAUAGAUGGACCCGCGCCGUAUUAGCUAGUUGGUAAGGUAACGGCUUACCAAGGCAACGAUACGUAGCCGACCUGAGAGGGUGAUCGGCCACACUGGAACUGAGACACGGUCCAGACUCCUACGGGAGGCAGCAGUAGGGAAUCUUCCGCAAUGGGCGAAAGCCUGACGGAGCAACGCCGCGUGAGUGAUGAAGGUCUUCGGAUCGUAAAACUCUGUUAUUAGGGAAGAACAAAUGUGUAAGUAACUGUGCACGUCUUGACGGUACCUAAUCAGAAAGCCACGGCUAACUACGUG
rnacentral:rRNA from 1 species